rnacentral:rRNA from 1 species
CCUACGGUGCGGCUGCAGUGGGGAAUAUUGGACAAUGGGCGAAAGCCUGAUCCAGCCAUGCCGCGUGUGUGAAGAAGGCCUUCGGGUUGUAAAGCACUUUCAGUGGGGAAGAAAGCCUUGGGGCUAAUACCCUCGAGGAAGGACAUCACCCACAGAAGAAGCACCGGCUAACUCCGUGCCAGCAGCCGCGGUAAUACGGAGGGUGCGAGCGUUAAUCGGAAUUACUGGGCGUAAAGCGCGCGUAGGCGGUCUGAUAAGCCGGUUGUGAAAGCCCCGGGCUCAACCUGGGAACGGCAUCCGGAACUGUCAGGCUAGAGUGCAGGAGAGGAAGGUAGAAUUCCCGGUGUAGCGGUGAAAUGCGUAGAGAUCGGGAGGAAUACCAGUGGCGAAGGCGGCCUUCUGGACUGACACUGACGCUGAGGUGCGAAAGCGUGGGUAGCAAACAGGAUUAGAUACCCGUGUAGUC